rnacentral:rRNA from 1 species
GAUGAACGCUGGCGGCGUGCCUAAUACAUGCAAGUCGAGCGAACAGACGAGGAGCUUGCUCCUCUGUCGUUAGCGGCGGACGGGUGAGUAACAUGUGGAUCACCUACCUAUAAGACUGGGAUAACUUCGGAAAACGGGCUCUAAUACCGGAUAAUAUCCUGAUCCGUAGGGUUAAUUGGUGAAUGUCGGCUUUUGUGUAUCUUCUAGCUGCUUCUCGGCCGCUUUAGCUAGUUGUUAAGUUAACGGCUUACCAAGGCAACGAUGCGUAGCCGACCUGAGAGACGGAUCGGCCACACUAGAACUGGGACACGGACCAGACUCCUACGGGAGGCAGCAGUAGGGUAUCUGCCGCAAUGGGCGAAAGCCUGACAGAGCAGCGCCGCGUCAGUGAUGAAGGUCUUCGGAUCGUGAAACUCUGUUAUUAGGGAAGAACAAAUGUGUAAGUAACUAUGCACGUCUUGACGGUACCUAAUCAGAAAGCCACGGCUAACUACGUG